rnacentral:rRNA from 1 species
UACGUAGGGUGCAAGCGUUGUCCGGAAUUAUUGGGCGUAAAGAGCUCGUAGGCGGUUUGUCGCGUCUGGUGUGAAAAUCCAGGGCUUAACCCUGGACCUGCAUCGGGUACGGGCAGACUAGAGUGCGGUAGGGGGAGACUGGAAUUCCUGGUGUAGCGGUGGAAUGCGCAGAUAUCAGGAGGAACACCGGUGGCGAAGGCGGGUCUCUGGGCCGGUACCGACGCUGAGGAGCGAAAGCGUGGGGGAGCGAACAGG